rnacentral:Y_RNA from 1 species
GACUGGUCCGUGCAGUGGUGUUUAAAACUAAUUGAUCACAAUCAGUUAUAGAUUUCUUUGUUUUUAUCUUCUCUCACUGCUUCACUUGAUUAGCCUUAA